rnacentral:misc_RNA from 1 species
GAUGAAGAACGCAGUGAAAUGCGAUAAGUAAUGUGAAUUGCAGAAUUCAGUGAAUCAUCGAAUCUUUGAACGCACCUUGCACCCUAUGGUAUUCCGAAGGGUAUGCUCGUUUGAGUGUCAUUGUACUCUCACACUUCUAAUUUCUUUCGGGAUUGGGAGCGGUGGACUUGGGUGUUGCUGCUUUAGUUGUGGCUCACCUCAAAUAAGUUAGUGCAACUCUUGGUUGGACAUAGUACGGCGUGAUAAGUGUCUUCGCCGGCGCCUCUGUAAGGAGGGUGGCCGAUCGGGAGCUCUGUGCUUCAAACCGUCUUCGGACAAUCUUUGACAACUUGACCUCAAAUCGAGUAGGACUACCCGCUGAACUUAAGCAUAUCAAUAAGCGGAGGA